rnacentral:rRNA from 1 species
GAUAGUGAACCAGUACCGUGAGGGAAAGGUGAAAAGAACCCCGAACAGGGGAGUGAAAUAGAACCUGAAACCAUACGCUUACAACCUGUCGGAGCAGCUUCGUGCUGUGACGGCGUGCCUAUUGAAUAAUGAGCCUACGAGUUACUAAUCACUGGCGAGGUUAAGUGCACGGAUGCACGGAGCCGAAGCGAAAGCGAGUCUUAAUAGGGCGUUUAGUCAGUGGUUGUAGACGCGAAACCUUGCGAUCUACCCUUGAGCAGGUUGAAGGUUGGGUAAAACCAACUGGAGGACCGAACGAAUAAGCGUUGAAAAGCUUCUCGAUGACUUGAGGGUAGGGGUGAAAGGCUAAUCAAGCUGGGAAAUAGCUCGUACUCCCCGAAAUGCCUUUAGGGGCAGCGUUGUAAUUGAGAGUCUACUGGAGGUAGAGCUACUGAUUGGAUGCGGGGGCUUCACCGCCUACCAAAUCCUGACAAACUCCGAAUGCCAGUAGUAUGAUUUACAGCAGUGAGCGACCGGGUGCUAAUGUCCGGUCACAAAAGAGGAACAACUCAGACCAGCAACUAAGGUCCCCAAGAGUAUGCUAAGUUGAUCUAACGAUGUUUUGUUGCAGAGACAGCUAGGAUGUUAGCUUGGAAGCAGCUAUUCAUUCAAAGAGUGCGUAACAGCUCACUAGUCGAGCGACAAAGCGUGGAUAAUAAACGGGCAUCAAGUAUACCACCGAAGUUCUGGGCACGAAAGUGCGGUAGGGGAGCAUUCCAUUCUGCGUCGAAGCCGAAUCGUGAGAUUUGGUGGAGCGUAUGGAAAAGCAAAUGUAGGCAUGAGUAACGAUAAUGCGGGAGAGUAACCCGCACACCGCAAGACCAAGGUUUCCUGAUCAACGCUAAUCGGAUCAGGGUUAGUCGGGUCCUAAGGGUAAGCCGAACGGUGAUCUCGAUGGAUAAUCGGUUAAUAUUCCGAUACUGACAUAUACCUCGAUGGAGAGACGAAGGAACGUAAGUGCCGCCGCCUGACGGAAUAGGUGGUUAAAGGGCGUAGGUAUAGGGACAGAUUAAGAGUUAGUCCUUGCUGAAACCCGACAGUACAGAGAGCCUACGGGCAAUUUGAUAGUGCACCCAAGUCGACUUCCGAGAAAAUCUUCUAAGUUAUAGUAUAUGUCACCCGUACCGUAAACCGACACAGGUGGUCGAGGAGAGUAUCCUAAGGUGCUCGAGUGAAUCACGGUUAAGGAACUAGGCAAAUUAACCCCGUAACUUCGGGAAAAGGGGUCCCACCGCGAGGUGGGCGCAGCGAAGAGGUCCAGGCGACUGUUUAUCAAAAACACAGGGCUCUGCAAAUUCGAAAGAAGACGUAUAGGGCCUGACACCUGCCCGGUGCUGGAAGGUUAAGAGGGGAUGUCAUCGCAAGAGAAGCAUUGAAUCGAAGCCCCAGUAAACGGCGGCCGUAACUAUAACGGUCCUAAGGUAGCGAAAUUCCUUGUCGGGUAAGUUCCGACCUGCACGAAUGGUGUAACGAUCUGGACACUGUCUCAACCGUGAGCUCGGUGAAAUUGUAGUCCCGGUGAUGAUGCCGGGUACCCGCAACGGGACGAAAAGACCCCGUGAACCUUUACUAUAGCUUAACGCUGAAUUUGGGUACACAAUGUGUAGGAUAGGCAGGAGACUAUGAAGCGGGUACGCCAGUAUUCGUGGAGUCAACGUUGAAAUACUGCCCUUUGUGUAUUUGAGUUCUAACCCUCAAGAGGGGACACCGUUUGGUGGGUAGUUUGACUGGGGUGGUCGCCUCCAAAAGAGUAACGGAGGCUUCCCAAGGUACCCUCAGCACGAAUGGUAACCGUGCGUAGAGUGCAAUAGCAUAAGGGUGCUUGACUGUGAGACCAACAAGUCGAUCAGGUGCGAAAGCAGGGUAUAGUGAUCCGGUGGUUCUGCGUGGACUGGCCAUCGCUCAAAGGAUAAAAGGUACUCCGG